CCUACGGGAGGCAGCAGUGGGGAAUAUUGCACAAUGGGGGAAACCCUGAUGCAGCGACGCCGCGGGAGUGAAGAAGUAUUUCGGUACGUAAAGCUCUAUCAGCAGGGAAGAAAAUGACGGUACCUGACUAAGAAGCCCCGGCUAACUACGUGCCAGCAGCCGCGGUAAUACGUAGGGGGCAAGCGUUAUCCGGAUUUACUGGGUGUAAAGGGAGCGUAGACGGCAGCGCAAGUCUGGAGUGAAAUCCCAUGGCUUAACCAUGGAACUGCUUUGGAAACUGUGCAGCUAGAGUGCAGGAGAGGUAAGCGGAAUUCCUAGUGUAGCGGUGAAAUGCGUAGAUAUUAGGAGGAACACCAGUGGCGAAGGCGGCUUACUGGACUGUAACUGACGUUGAGGCUCGAAAGCGUGGGGAGCAAACAGGAUUAGAUACCCCAGUAGUC
rnacentral:rRNA from 1 species